GGAAGGUAAUCGGACUCAAGAUAAAUACUCACAGGUCUGGGACACAUGUCUGGAGAAGAAAUCUCUUCUUUUUCAUCUUCCAAUUCAGCUCUUAAAAAGCAACUUGGAACACUGAGUGACUGUUCCUCAAUAUUUUGGGGAGAGGCCUAGUCACUGCAACAGCACGGGAAUGCGGAUUAUAACCUGUCAUGUGGAGGAAUGGAAACAAACAGGCAGCGUUGGAACCACUGCUUACCUCACUGCACACACCAGAUCCCGUAAGAUGAAAGUCCACCUCCCUGGACAUCCCUGGGUCAACUCGGCUAUUUCUGCAGAAGACUUCAUUUUGGAAAUGAGUAGCUACGAGAAAAGGCUCCCUGCAGAACCCAUUCUGAAGGUAACUUGUGGUGGACAGUGAAGUUUUUAGUGACUUCAUUUUGAAGGGAGAUAACGGCAAUGGUAAUUUUCGUUAGGGCUCUGCUUGGCUGUUUCAGCAGGUCUGGUAGCCAUGGACACUUGUCCAGUUGUGCGUAGAGUGAGCUUCAGCUGCUGCAACGAAUUCAUGCUGACUGGUUUUGGCUUCUUUAAUUUUUUUCCUGGAUGCUGUUGCUUCUAUCAUCCUGCCUUAUUAAGUAGUCUGAACUCAUAAGCUAGCUACUCUUGAUGAGCUACAGGGCAGCUCUGAGAGAGCUUUUACUCCACUGACCUGCUCACAUGGACCACACUUAUAUCCAACAGUUCCUGAUGAACAGCUUUAACAAAAUAAGCCAUUUUUAAUUUAUCUUCCAGCUGAAGUUGGAGAGAGACCAUAAGGAAACUUUUGGCUUUAUGUAUCAUUUGUUACUAUAUUAUUUAACAUGUUCUGAAACAGUCUUGAAAAGGAAUCACCAAACCACUUGUGGCCACUGUGUUUACUUGGUUUCGUGCAUGUUGAUUUGCAUAGCUACAUUUUUUUCAUUGAAUUGAGCAUGGUACAAUAUGCAAAUACGCACGCUGAUUACUGGAGUAUAUAAACACACCACUAAUAGAAAUGUAGGGUUUUUUCUAUUUCAAAUAUUUUUAUUAUGAAUAAUGGUACAGCUAGUUGAAGUAUAUCUUUUAUUCGUGUAUAUGUAUACCCAAAAACCACUGUCACAAAUCGAAUAUACAAACAUAUAAGAAUAUAAUUCAUUUUACUCAGCCAGACAUUAAAAUUACUUGCUAAACUGUAUGUAAUUCUCUUUGGAGCAGCCUUUUUGGGGAAAAUCUAUUUUAUGUUUUUUAAGUUAUUAGGGCAAUGUUUAGGUUUUUGUUGUUGUUGUUUGUUUGCUUGCUUUUGAGCCCAGACAGGCCUCAAACUCAAUAUGUAGUCUAGAUGGCCUUGAAUCCUCGAUCCUCCUACCUCAUAAAACAUUAAACGAGGUUAUCAAAACCCUUUUCAGGAACCUUGAUGGACCUCAAAUCUAAAUGGCCUUGGCUCCAGAGAUGAGUUCAAAGAAAAAUAUCAUAUGAUACUGGGUUCAUUUUUGAAUGUGAAAAUGUUCUGCUGUUUAACAUCUCCUUACAGAGCUCUGAGUUUUCCUUCACAAAGAUCUUGUAUUAUUAACCUUAUAUCAAAGUACUUCAUAUUUUUUGAAUUCUAUGUAUGUAUGUAUGUAUGUAUGUAUGUAUGUAUGUAUCUAUCUAUCUAUCUAUCUAUCUAUCUAUCUAUCUAUCUAUCUAUAUUUUGAGACAGGUUCUCUCUAGGUUGGUCUCAGACUCUAGAUUAAGCUGGCUUCAAAGUCACAAAAGUCACAAUUCUCCUACCCCGAUUUCCUGAGUACUGAAGUUAGAAGCAUGUGUCACCAUGCCCAAUUCUACUUGUAACUUUUAAAAAAUGAUACUCUUAAAAGCCAGCUUUUGUUUGUCUAAGACAUAUAACUGAGGGGUUUUACAUUAAAAUUUACUAGGUAUAUUAUACACAAUGGAGGCUUAUCUCCAUACUUGUAUAUAAUGUAUCAGAUUCAGCUAUUAUCCUCUCUUGUCUCCUUCCUACUCUUCUAGAUCCUUUAUCUCUUUCCUACUAAUCCUCCUACUUUCAAAUAUUUCUUUAAAGAUUUACUUUUAUUUGUACCUGUGUGUGUGUGUGUGUGUGUGUGUGUGUGUGUGUGUGUGUACACACGCACGCACACAUGCACAAGAAAACCAGAAGAGGGCACAGGAUCCUCUGAAGCUAGGGGUUACAGGUAGUUGUGAGAUGCCUGACAUGGAACCAAACUGAGUCCUUUGAAGGGUGGGAAGCACCCUUAAUCACUGAGCCAUUUCUCCAGCACUGCCCCCACCCAGUCCCUAUUAAAGGGAUUCAAUGAAUAUGACAAGGGCUGCGUGCAGAAGCAUGAAGAAGUGGGGUUUUGUUGAUUUAUUUGGUUGGUUUUGAGUAAGGGUUUCAGAUAGCCCAAGCUGGCUUCAAAUUUACUGUGAAGCUGAGGCUGACCUUAACUUCUAAUCCUCCUGCCUCCGCUUUGGAAGCAGUUUUGUGCCAUCGAACUCAGGUGCUGGGGCGGGAAUGCAGGGCUUUAUGCACUGGAGACAAAUAUUCCAGCAUCUGACUUACAUCCAGCUCAAAACGACUGGGUUUCACUGUUUGGAAUUUCUAACUAGUGAUCUUUCUAAACUCACUCAUUAUUCUAACAAAGUACAAAUCCUUGGGUCUUCCUGUGUGUGACAGAAGGGGUACAUGUGUACAUUAUGUGCAAUUAUAUGUGCCUAUGUGCAGGUGUGGAUGUCAGGAAGGGUCAGGUGUCCUGCUCUGUCACUCUCUGCUUUAUCCCUUGAGACGGUCUGUCUCUCACUGGCCCUAGAGCUGGCAGUGGCUGUCCUACAGUUCUGGGGUUACAAGCAGACGUGGACGCUUGCCCAGCUUUUUUACAUAGGUUUAAAGGUUCCUAUGCUUGUGAAACAAGCGCUCUUACCUAACUCACCAUCUCUCUAGCACCAAAUUGGGUUUUCUAUGUGUAAGUAAUAAGAGUUUUGUGUCUUCCAGUCCCUAAUUUUAAUUGUUUCCCAAACCUUACUGAACUUCCUAGAGUGUAUGUAUAAUGCUUAAUAAACGUUUUCAAGGGGAAAGUGUUCUUUCUCUUAUCAUGGAGUAUUAUAUCUGCUUCAAGUCUGCAUUUUCUUGAUCCGUUUUGCUGGGUAAAGAUAGUUCCUUUCUGUGUGUACUUUGGCCUGGGGUUUACGUAUGUGAUCCUGUCUUUUUCUGAAUCCAUUCAAGAGACUCUAAGUUUCCCUCUUUAGAUUUGUAUGUACAGUAUUUAGGGUAGAAAAGAACAGCCUUUUCCUUUCUCAUGUUAUUCUUUUAUGGAUUUAGCAUUGAAGUUACAUACUAAUAUAAAGUGAGAUGAAAAAUCUAUCUCUUUUUGUGCAUUCUGUGGAAAAUAAAGAAUGAAACACCUGAGUUUUCCUUGUUUGAACGCCUAUUAAGCUUUGACAGGUUGAUUUAAAACAAACCUUUACAUUCACAUUGGCAAGAAGUUACUUAGUUUCUUAAAAGUCGUGUGCACCAGGUGUGUAGCUGAACUGCCUCCUUCACUUUUAACCAUUCCUUUCCAAAAAUAAGUAAAUAAAAUGUUAGGCUCUCGUUUGCAGUCAUUACCUCUC